GGCCAGUAUGGCAUAGUGGUUUGAAUGUUGGACUGUGACUCCGGAGACCGGGGUUUGAUUCCCAGCUUGGCCA
rnacentral:tRNA from 1 species